rnacentral:rRNA from 1 species
UACGUAGGGUGCGAGCGUUAAUCGGAAUUACUGGGCGUAAAGUGUGCGCAGGCGGCCGAGCAAGUCGAGUGUGAAAGCCCCGAGCUUAACUUGGGAACUGCGCUCGAAACUACUUGGCUAGAGUGUGGCAGAGGGAGGUGGAAUUCCACGUGUAGCGGUGAAAUGCGUAGAGAUGUGGAGGAACACCGAUGGCGAAGGCAGCCUCCUGGGCCAACACUGACGCUCAUGCACGAAAGCGUGGGGAUCAAACAGG